CCUGAGGUCAUACAGGGACAUAACUCCUGAGGAUGGGAUGUCAUUGAGCUGGUCAUGAGUUGACUCUUGGAUUUGGUUCAAUAUUUUUCAGGACUCACAUUGGUUCAUUCAUUGCCGCCUUGCUGUAUUACUGUGUCAGGUCACCAUUUACCAGAGCUCGAGGUCAAAAGCAGUUACCUGGACUGGUUGUCCGAUUCCUGGUGUUUACGAAUAAUCCUCCACCAUUUGCCCCAGUAAAUGCAGACAGCCGCGAGGCAUCCAGACGACUACACCACCCUCUAGCUCUCAUGAGGACUCGUGUGAACUGAGUGUUUCUGCCUGGCCACACUUUCAGGGCAUAUGCACGCUGGACCAGCGGACGAACCUCAGUGGUGUCCCUGGGCACAGAGGAACCAGAGCGACAAGCCAAGAGAAGCGAUGGGGCAGAAAGCUACAGGACAGCUGGACACCUCUCGCCUGCUGGUCCCCAUUCUCCUGAUGCUGGGCUGGAUUGUUGGUUGUGCAAUCGUCGUCUACUUUGUCUUUUCAUAGGAGUCCGUGGACGUUGUAUCUCAGCCAGGGAGAAAACGCUUCCCCAUCUGUCAUCAUUCAAGAUGUGUCUGUUCUGACACAUGAAACAAAGAUGACAGCACAUCUUAUAAGUGUGCAUUUGGAAUAGAAAUGUUGUCUGUAUAUAUUUUCUCUCACUUUUCCUAUUUUAACUGCAUCAUUGGAAUAUGAAUAUAAUGGAUGAUGGACAGCAUGAUUUAAGCACCAUAGACUGCUUCUCUGCCCCCCACAAAAUAUUAAUGAUAUUUAGAAAAAGAAGAAAUGAACUCAUUUAAGAUGAUGGACCCACAAUGGUGGGUAACCCUGUUCACAUGCUUUGUGUAUUUAUUGUCACCAUCUGUUUCAACCUCCUGGCACAUAGUGUCACUGUGAAUUCUUUGUUAGUGGUCUUAUAGGUUUUAAAUAAACAGUUAUGAGUGAAAGUGUCUCCA
rnacentral:lncRNA from 1 species